rnacentral:rRNA from 1 species
GAUGAACGCUGGCGGCGUGCCUAAUACAUGCAAGUCGAGCGAACGGACGAGAAGCUUGCUUCUCUGAUGUUAGCGGCGGACGGGUGAGUAACACGUGGAUAACCUACCUAUAAGACUGGGAUAACUUCGGGAAACCGGAGCUAAUACCGGAUGAUAUUUUGAACCGCAUGGUUCAAAAGUGAAAGACGGUCUUGCUGUCACUUAUAGAUGGAUCCGCGCUGCAUUAGCUAGUUGGUAAGGUAACGGCUUACCAAGGCAACGAUGCAUAGCCGACCUGAGAGGGUGAUCGGCCACACUGGAACUGAGACAUGGUCCAGACUCCUACGGGAGGCGGCAGUAGGGAAUCUUCCGCAAUGGGCGAAAGCCUGACGGAGCAACGCCGCGUGAGUGAUGAAGGUCUUCGGAUCGUAAAACUCUGUUAUUAGGGAAGAACAUAUGUGUAAGUAACUGUGCACAUCUUGACGGUACCUAAUCAGAAAGCCACGGCUAACUACGUG